rnacentral:rRNA from 1 species
AGAGUUUGAUCAUGGCUCAGGAUGAACGCUAGCGGCAGGCUUAACACAUGCAAGUCGAGGGGUAGAGUUCUUCGGAAUUUGAGACCGGCGCACGGGUGCGUAACGCGUAUGCAAUCUACCUUUUACAGAGGGAUAGCCCAGAGAAAUUUGGAUUAAUACCUCAUAGUAUUAUGAAAUGGCAUCAUUUUAUAAUUAAAGUCACAACGGUAAAAGAUGAGCAUGCGUCCCAUUAGCUAGUUGGUAAGGUAACGGCUUACCAAGGCUACGAUGGGUAGGGGUCCUGAGAGGGAGAUCCCCCACACUGGUACUGAGACACGGACCAGACUCCUACGGGAGGCAGCAGUGAGGAAUAUUGGACAAUGGGCGCAAGCCUGAUCCAGCCAUGCCGCGUGCAGGAUGACGGUCCUAUGGAUUGUAAACUGCUUUUAUACGAGAAGAAACACUACUUCGUGAAGUAGCUUGACGGUAUCGUAGAAUAGAUGGC